GUGGGACGCGGCGCAGGGGCUGCCGCGGUCCUCAAGCCCGGCCCGGCUCCGGUACCGACAACAGAAAGGCCACGCCCCGCCUCCGUCGCCGUGCGCUUUUUAUUGAAUUAAAAUCGCUCUGUGAAAGUUACAGCGGUUGGCGGGGGACGACCCUUGCCCGGGCCGCCCCUCACGGAGCCGGCGCCCCCCCGGCUGCUGCCCGCGCUUCUUCAGCCCUAAAGCGGGUCCGGAUCCCCACGUUGCCUUCGCCUCCUUCGUGCGGCACCUCCGCGCCCGGCUCAUCAGGUGAAUCCAGCCGUCGGAGAAACGCUACGGGACGUCUGCCGUGGAAGGCAUGCAAACGAUAGCUUUUCUCAGUCAACACCUCCAAUUCUCCAGUCAUUGUGGCAGCUCAAGCUCAGCGACAACAACUUACAGGUGCUGAAGUGUUCAUCCCAGAUGCAAGUGCAGAAACUCCCGAAUCUUUCUCCAGGAGUGUUCCUGGGCAUGAGCGUGCGCUUUGCUCUCUCCACCCCCCAACACAGGCACCCCCAGAACACGAUCCAGAGCUACCUGACAAAAUGGAGUAGAAGGAGGAUCGAUUCGGUGGCCUGCUCCUGGAUAACUCAGCAGUUCAAAGUUUUCUUUCCCAUGCUGGCGUAGGCGCCCAAUUGCUAGCUCAGCGUAUAAGGAGCUCUUCCACAUACGAUCAGCUUCCCCUACUACUAGGAGAAAGUGACCUUCUGCUUUUUCUAUGGGGAUUGUGCAAGAGGAAUUGGCAGGAUUUGCUGGGUCAUCCAGAGCUUCAAAAGUGUCAAAUACACCAGUGUCAGAAACGCUGACCUUAUUCAUAUCAAAACGCAGCCCAGGCAGAGUUGUCUCACCAUAAUGGAGGUCUGCAACCGUGUUCGAACUACAGCCGGAGAUACAGACAGCAGCCACUACUUCUGGUAGGAAGGUGAUCAUGGAGAGUGCUAAUUCUGCACCUUUCCCAGUCCCAAUCACUCCAACUCCUGGCCCCUUCACCUUCAGAUUAAGAUGCGGUUGCAGGGAAGAGAGGAAGAAAGGAAUAAAUACAUGUUAUAAUAGGGUUAGCCGUUAAAUGUCUUUGAAGUUGUGUUAUUAAAAAGAAAAAAAGUUAAUUAUUGAUGUGACCUGUUGGAAAGCUAUAGCCUGGACCCAGACUUCUUCAGAGCCAAUAAUAAAUGUCAAACACAGUAAAAUAACACUGGUAUCACAUUUGUGCUAGGAACAACAAGUACAAUCACUUGGAACUCAACCGCUGUGUAUUUUCUUGCAAAUAUUUUCCCCCAAACAGGUAGCAGGAAAUUCAAAUACAGUCAAUUACAAAAUAUGUCCCUGGCACAUAAAGUCAUCUCACAAAUGACAUUUGAGAAUUAGAUAUGUAUUCAGCCUUUUCCUGUUCUAGCCUGGAGAGUAAAACAAAGGAACAUCUCAAGUUAUCAAAUCAAAUCAUCUGUAGCACUGAGCAGUGCUGUGCCACCCUCUUGUAAGCUAACUGCUUUCAUUAAAACAACAAACAAAACCCCACAUAAUCACCACAUACGUACAUCACCACUGUUCCAGCUGAAGGUUGUUCCAGCACUUCAUUGUCCUCGUGAUCAGCAUUUGUCAAUUUUCCAAUGUGCAUUUAUUUAAUGGCCUGCUUGUGGUGGAAGAAAUACACUCUGCAGUGAUACGCAUUGCUGCCUACGUAGGACCUACACUUCUUCCAUUACGGAGCCUAAAUCUGCCCAAAGACAUUCCAAGAAAAUCACUGCCACCACGUGGGCAUGGCUACCAAAUCUUCCCUAGUUCCUUGUCUGGAGAGAUCUCUCCUUACACUCACCUUUGGGUGACGCUGUAGAAAUCUAGCUGCCUCCUCAAAGUACUCAAGUUUAAAUUCUUUCAUGACCUUAGGCAGAUCUUCAAAGUCAAAAUAUGGCAGAGAAAGAGCUGCAAAACCACGGGUAGCCAGGAGACUGGAUCUAAAUUCAACCAAACCUCCUUCAUCACCAUACAUGUCAAUGACUCCUGGAAAGGGGCCAUCCCCUGGAUUGAGAAGAGGUACAGAGCACAAGUUAUCAAACAGGACUCUAAGAAGUAUCUAGCUAAGUUCGAAAAUCAAAAUAUAGAAAGCAUUAGAUGUUUUCUGUAACUACUCAUAAAUUUUCCAUUUGUACAGCUGA